rnacentral:tRNA from 1 species
AAGGGAGACCUAAUUCCGGUAGGAGACGAAAAAAAAGUAGUCCCAACCAAGAAUCAAUCCCAAAAGGUCGGAACGAGGUAUGAGGCUUUCAAACUAGGUUCUGGGUUCAUAAAAGACCUGAAUCAGGAACAAGGGCUAUUAGCUCAGGUGGUUAGAGCGCACCCCUGAUAAGGGUGAGGUCCCUGGUUCGAGUCCAGGAUGGCCCACCUGUACAGGUGGCAAAAAGAAAGAAAAGAAGCGAGGAAUCAGCACCUUAUCUUACUUAUAUAGUAGGAGAGAAUGCUGGCUCUGAGUACAGAGUCCAGAGGAACCUUGAAAACUGCAUAGAGCUAGGUGAAAAAGCCAAAAAAGAAGACCGCAA